rnacentral:tRNA from 1 species
UCCCUGGUGGUCCAGUGGGUAAGACUCUGCACUCACAAUGCAGGAGGCCUGGAUUUGAUCCCUGGUCAGAGAA